GGGGGAAAAGCUCAGUGGUAGAGCGCAUGCUUAGCAUGCACAAGGUCCUGGGUUUAAUCCCCAGUAUCUCCA
rnacentral:tRNA from 1 species